GUCACUAUGAGCCCUCCAGCUAUUGAGGCUCCUAGUUUUGAGAUUCUUUGUUCAUCACUUGCACUAAUUGCAGCAGCUCCACAUGUCACAAACACCAACAAAUACGUUGCCAUGACCUCUGCCACCACCUGCGUUUGCUGAGAUCAGUACGUUUUUUGAACUUCAAUAGACCAUGCAUUCACUUUAUAUGUAUUUUCUUUUCUACGUGUUUGUUUCCUAGGAAAGCAGAAAAAAAAUGAUCGUUAUUACCUUUCUGAGAAAAGCAGGAGGAUAAUUUUUUCGAAAUGAUUGAACGAGUUGAGACUUUGGGUUCUCCACAGAGACCAGAUUAUCUUCCAUGGAAGCUGAGGUGUUGAGAUUUGGAUCUAUUGUCGCCAUUAUUUCUUGAUCCAAAAAGAAGCCUGCAAAAUUGAUGGAAC
rnacentral:lncRNA from 1 species